ensembl:lncRNA
GAAUACAAGUGCGCUGAUCCACACAGGUAUGCACACGGGUGUUCACUGCUCGUAGACCCAAAUUACACCUUUCUUGGCUGCUACUUCGAAGCACAUCUGUCCUGCGUGCUGCACAACAACAUUGAAUAUUUAGUAUUUACUGCUGUUUACACUUAGCUAGAUUAAUGCGAUGGUGUUGUGUUUAGUAUGUUGCUUUGUUUCUUUUUUUUUUUUUUUGUCUUUUUUGCUUGUUUUCUAUUCUUCUCUCAACAGGUGAUCCAGGAGAUUUUUUUUUCUCCCCCCCUUUCUCACUGUCCCUCUCCCCUUCUGUUUUUCCUUUCCUUCCUCUUUCUUUCUCCCUUUCCUAUCUCUCACUCAUGUCUGUCCCGUCUGUAACAUCUGAAAAUAAAAUAUAAUAAAUAAUAAAAACAAAGAUCGACCAAAUGGACCAAUACGGCAAUGCCACGAUGAUCCAUUUGGCAAAGUAAAUCCAUUGGGUAUCCUUGUUGGUCUUCAGACAACAAUUCUGAUGGCUAAAGAACCAAAUGGGACAGGCGGGAAAGAAAAAAAAAAAAAGAUCAUUGCCCUGAAUCAGGACACCGUCAGCAGGGAGGAGGUCACCUGGAAUGCCAACACCUAGAGCACUGGGUGGAUGGUAAAAAGAAAGGCCAAGCGAAAUGAUGGCUGCCAUAACCAGGAUAAUGAGAGUGAUGUCCUGCAGGGCUGCCCACACCAACUCCAAAAAGUUUUUUUGGCUUCUUAGGGGGGAUAACAUUUGCUCCAAACAUCUCCAUCCUCCUUUUUGCUGUUCCUUUCCUCAGAUCGAUGGAUUUCAAUUCCAGCAGCAAGGCGUUGUCGUCUGGGCCUGUAACACUCCCGUGAAUGGGUGGAAACAUGGUGCAUGGCUUCAAACGCACUGUACUGUCCAGCAUUACUGCAAUAAAAGAUUAGCUUAUAGUUUUGGCGUGAGGGUUAAUGACCUAAACUCGGCAUCAACACAAAUGCCCCCUCAUCAUUACUAAAGCACCUUUAUUGCUGCUGCUGUGAUGAGUUUAUAUCUGUAAUAAUGCCUGUGGCAGCGCUCUGUUGUUGCUCCUAGAGAACGUGGGAGUCGGUUAUUAUUUUGGGGAACAGUCAGCUCAGAGUCGUCCCAUAACAGGUGCCAUUAGCAUUCCUGUGCUGAUGUUGGCAG